rnacentral:rRNA from 1 species
UACGAAGGGGGCUAGCGUUGUUCGGAUUUACUGGGCGUAAAGCGCACGUAGGCGGAUCGUUAAGUCAGGGGUGAAAUCCUGGAGCUCAACUCCAGAACUGCCUUUGAUACUGGCGAUCUUGAGUCCGGAAGAGGUGAGUGGAACUCCUAGUGUAGAGGUGGAAUUCGUAGAUAUUAGGAAGAACACCAGUGGCGAAGGCGGCUCACUGGUCCG